ACGGCUGUGGUCUAGUGGUAUGAUCCGAGCUUCCCAAGCUUGUAGUCCGGGUUCGAUAACAGUUCUCCCAGAACUGGGAGGGGAGUGCGGCAUUCGUUCGCAAUGCUCACUCAGCCCCACAAGUGUAGGAGAACGACGAAAAUCCCGGCAGCCGUA
rnacentral:tRNA from 1 species